AUGGUGGAGACAAGAAAACAUAUUGUCUAUCCCUUGGUUUACCGACUUUUGAAGCUAGCACUAGUAUUGCCUAUUGCCACUACUACAGUUGAGAGAUAUUUUUCAGCUAUGAGAAUUGUGAAGACAUAUUUGCGCAAUCGUCUUGGUGACGACGCCUUGAAGUACGACCUUAUUUGUUAUGUGGAGAAAAGCGAAAUGAGGAAGGUUACUAAUGAUGCGGUAAUUGAUCGCUUUGAAGCCAUGAAAAAACGUCGGAAACCAUUUGAAAGUGCAAGUAUCACUUAG
rnacentral:rRNA from 1 species